GGGGAUGUAAAGGUUUCGACGGGGUUGUUAUGCUAUAAAUAGCAAGUCAGGUUGACCGCUGUGAGAGGUUAACUCAUCGUUUAGAUGACAAUAAUAAUUACGCUUUAGCUGCCUAGUUGUAGCUUGCCUCUAGUAUUUCUCUUCUGUAAGAGAUACUAACCGAGGUAUAACCCAAAUACAGAUUACCUAUUCUGACUCCUUUAAAGUCAUAGGGACAUCUCAAAGGAUAGUUCUUGUUUACCCUGUUUACGGGCGGAAUUUGAGCGAACUCUAAUUGUAAACUAAACUUGUAGAAGUUUAUAGUAGUAGCAGUUUCGGACAUGGGUUCGAUUCCCAUCAUCUCCACCA
rnacentral:tmRNA from 1 species